UACAGAGGUCUCAAGCGUUGUUCGGAUUCAUUGGGCGUAAAGGGUGCGUAGGCGGCGCGGUAAGUCGGGUGUGAAAUCUCGGGGCUUAACUCCGAAACUGCAUUCGAUACUGCCGCGCUUGAGGACUGGAGAGGAGACUGGAAUUUACGGUGUAGCGGUGAAAUGCGUAGAUAUCGUAAGGAAGACCAGUGGCGAAGGCGGGUCUCUGGACAGUGCCUGACGCUGAGGCACGAAGGCCAGGGGAGCAAACGGG
rnacentral:rRNA from 1 species